CGGACGGGUGAGUAACGCGUGGAAAACCUGCCGUAUACUGGGGGAUAACACUUAGAAAUAGGUGCUAAUACCGCAUAAGCGCACAGCUUCGCAUGAAGCGGUGUGAAAAACUCUGGUGGUAUACGAUGGUUCCGCGUCUGAUUAGCUAGUUGGUGGGUAAUGGCCUACCAAGGCAACGAUCAGUAGCCGGCCUGAGAGGGUGAACGGCCACAUUGGGACUGAGACACGGCCCAAACUCCUACGGAAGGCAGCAG
rnacentral:rRNA from 1 species